rnacentral:rRNA from 1 species
AUGGAGAGUGAUGUACAUCCUAUAAUUGAGUUUCUGGAUUAUGCCUUUUUGAGCAAUGACAAAAGACUGCAGGACAGAAGACCACCCUAUUUUGACCAUUUGAUACGAUGUUUGAGAGAAAUGAAGUCAGCAGUGCCGAGUCCUGGUGAUAAGUUGACGAUAGCAUCUCACGCGAGCUAUAUGUUACCUUUUGACAGGUUAUUGCUUACUAUUUCACUCAGAAGAAAGUAUAAAGGUUCGAGCAAAGAAGAAAAAACUAAAUGGGAUGGUGCCAUAAGGAAAGCUUCAUUAAAUGUUGCCUUGACCGAUCGAUUGCUGGAACUACCUGUGUUUAACGAUAUUAAAGCAGCAGCAGAUAGAAGAGGCGAAUCAUAUCCAGCAGAGCUAACACGGUCCGUGUCCUUUCGGGUGUCACGGGAUUAUUGCAUGCAUGCACUCGAAAAUCGAUGGGCCGAUGAUCCAGAUGCAAAACCUAGCGAGAAGGAUAAACAAAUUGAGAAAUUCAAAGAUGAUGAUGGCAUUGAGCUUAUGCUUCCAGUGCACGUAAAAAAAAUUCUUGCUAAUCUGAUCGAACAACUUAUCCUGGCAAACAUUGACAUCAACAGAGAGCUUUCAAGUGCCGUACUGCACUGCACCAAGUGCCCCAUAGAACCAACUCAUCCAGUUGUGGCUGAACCCAUUGGUGAUGAUUACAUGCCGACUUGGAUGCUUGCUCGAACUAAAGCUGAACAAUCAAGGCUCAUGAACAUGAACAUUGGUGCCAAUCGAGCAAGACCAAGGAAUUGGACCACCGGAGAAUGCUCGAACUCCGCUUCAAUGGUCAACCAGCAGCCCAAUCCCUGGAAUGCAGGGAAGACUCUCGUAGCGCUGUCCCCAGGUGCAAAAAUUCUACCUUUAAGCUCCAUGCCGUCGGGGAGUAGUACAGAUGGUGUAAAAGCUGAAGUGUCGAACCCAGUGACAUCGGUGCGUGCACAGACAACACAGCCACAAGUAGCAGAAGGCAAAUCAAAGGCCUGCUUUGAUAACUGGAAAAGGCGUCAGGCGAGGAAAGCUCGAAAAGAGGCCGGUGAGAAACCCUAG